UCAAGACAAAUGUUAUAUAUUUCUCAAUAACUACUAACAAGAACAAUAGGAUGGCUUCACAGUGAUUAGUGGUAAUCAUCUGUAUUACAAGCAAAAUUUAGAGCCUCCAGUGAUCUGAAAACAUCACAUUACCUCCAAACAAAGAAAUAAUAAUAAUAGAACCAGACAAAAUUUUCCUUUGUAAAGUUCAGAAGAAAGAAUGGAUGCAAAUCCAUUGAUAGGGGCUGCACAGGAUCAACUAAGAAUAUGGAUAGACGCCUUCCAAAGCUGCCAUCCUUAAGGCUAGCCUAUUAAUCGACUUUGGCUACCUAAUUCCUGGAAGAGCUUCUCCUGAUCCAAGACAUAUAUGAUCACGCAAGGAGGAGACAAUAUGUUAAAAUCUUCAAACUCUAUGGCCAAUUUCUGAUUGGCAAUUGUGAAUGAUCAAGAAAACAAAUGGUGAUCCACAAAUUGACACAUCACAAAAACAUGUAAAAUAGGAGAAAUUGGUAUUACCUUAGGGUUUAGGGGGAAUAGGGCUGGUUGGCCGGUGGUUGAUGUCUGACGGUUUCAGGAGCAGAGAACAGGGAGGGGGCAGCAGAUGGAGCAGAUGC
rnacentral:lncRNA from 1 species